rnacentral:rRNA from 1 species
GACGAACGCUGGCGGCGUGCUUAACACAUGCAAGUCGAACGGAAAGGCCCUGCUUUUGUGGGGUGCUCGAGUGGCGAACGGGUGAGUAACACGUGAGUAACCUGCCCUUGACUUUGGGAUAACUUCAGGAAACUGGGGCUAAUACCGGAUAGGAGCUCCUGCUGCAUGGUGGGGGUUGGAAAGUUUCGGCGGCUGGGGAUGGACUCGCGGCUUAUCAGCUUGUUGGUGGGGUAGUGGCUUACCAAGGCUUUGACGGGUAGCCGGCCUGAGAGGGUGACCGGCCACAUUGGGACUGAGAUACGGCCCAGACUCCUACGGGAGGCAGCAGUGGGGAAUAUUGCACAAUGGGCGGAAGCCUGAUGCAGCAACGCCGCGUGCGGGAUGACGGCCUUCGGGUUGUAAACCGCUUUCGCCUGUGACGAAGCGUGAGUGACGGUAAUGGGUAAAGAAGCACCGGCUAACUACGUGCCAGCAGCCGCGGUGAUACGUAGGGUGCGAGCGUUGUCCGGAUUUAUUGGGCGUAAAGGGCUCGUAGGUGGUUGAUCGCGUCGGAAGUGUAAUCUUGGGGCUUAACCCUGAGCGUGCUUUCGAUACGGGUUGACUUGAGGAAGGUAGGGGAGAAUGGAAUUCCUGGUGGAGCGGUGGAAUGCGCAGAUAUCAGGAGGAACACCAGUGGCGAAGGCGGUUCUCUGGGCCUUUCCUGACGCUGAGGAGCGAAAGCGUGGGGAGCGAACAGGCUUAGAUACCCUGGUAGUCCACGCUGUAAACGGUGGGUACUAGGUGUGGGGUCCAUUCCACGGGUUCCGUGCCGUAGCUAACGCUUUAAGUACCCCGCCUGGGGAGUACGGCCGCAAGGCUAAAACUCAAAGGAAUUGACGGGGCCCCGCACAAGCGGCGGAGCAUGCGGAUUAAUUCGAUGCAACGCGUAGAACCUUACCUGGGUUUGACAUGGAUCGGGAGCGCUCAGAGAUGGGUGUGCCUCUUUUGGGGUCGGUUCACAGGUGGUGCAUGGCUGUCGUCAGCUCGUGUCGUGAGAUGUUGGGUUAAGUCCCGCAACGAGCGCAACCCUUGUUCACUGUUGCCAGCACGUUAUGGUGGGGACUCAGUGGAGACCGCCGGGGUCAACUCGGAGGAAGGUGGGGAUGACGUCAAGUCAUCAUGCCCCUUAUGUCCAGGGCUUCACGCAUGCUACAAUGGCUGGUACAGAGAGUGGCGAGCCUGUGAGGGUGAGCGAAUCUCGGAAAGCCGGUCUCAGUUCGGAUUGGGGUCUGCAACUCGACCUCAUGAAGUCGGAGUCGCUAGUAAUCGCAGAUCAGCAACGCUGCGGUGAAUACGUUCUCGGG